rnacentral:rRNA from 1 species
UACAGAGGUCUCAAGCGUUGUUCGGAUUCAUUGGGCGUAAAGGGUGUGUAGGUGGCGCGCUAAGUCGGGUGUGAAAUUUCGAGGCUUAACUUCGAAACUGCAUUCGAUACUGCCGUGCUUGAGGACUGGAGAGGAGACUGGAAUUUACGGUGUAGCGGUGAAAUGCGUAGAUAUCGUAAGGAAGACCAGUGGCGAAGGCGGGUCUCUGGACAGUUCCUGACGCUGAGGCACGAAGGCCAGGGGAGCAAACGGG